AAUAUUGGACAAUGGGCGCAAGCCUGAUCCAGCCAUACCGCGUGUGUGAAGAAGGCUUCGGGUUGUAAAGCACUUUAAGCAGGGAGAAAAAGUUAUAAGUUAAUACUCUAUAAC
rnacentral:rRNA from 1 species